AACGAACGCUGGCGGCAGGCCUAACACAUGCAAGUCGAGCGAGGACUUCGGUCCUAGCGGCGGACGGGUGAGUAACGCAUGGGAACGUGCCCUUUGCUUCGGAAUAGCCCUGGGAAACUGGGAGUAAUACCGGAUGAGCCCUUUGGGGGAAAGAUUUAUCGGCGAAGGAUCGGCCCGCGUUGGAUUAGGUAGUUGGUGGGGUAAUGGCCUACCAAGCCGACGAUCCAUAGCUGGUUUGAGAGGAUGAUCAGCCACACUGGGACUGAGACACGGCCCAGACUCCUACGGGAGGCAGCAGUGGGGAAUCUUAGACAAUGGGGGAAACCCUGAUCUAGCCAUGCCGCGUGAGCGAUGAAGGCCUUAGGGUUGUAAAGCUCUUUCAGCUGGGAAGAUAAUGACGGUACCAGCAGAAGAAGCCCCGGCUAACUCCGUG
rnacentral:rRNA from 1 species